UACGUAGGGUGCAAGCGUUGUCCGGAAUUAUUGGGCGUAAAGAGCUCGUAGGCGGUCUGUCACGUCGGCUGUGAAAUCCCGAGGCUCAACCUCGGGUCUGCAGUCGAUACGGGCAAACUAGAGUAUUGCAGGGGAGACUGGAAUUCCUGGUGUAGCGGUAGAAAUGCGCAGAUAUCAGGAGGAACACCGGUGGCGAAGGCGGGUCUCUGGGCCGAUACUGACGCUGAGGAGCGAAAGCGUGGGGAGCGAACAGG
rnacentral:rRNA from 1 species